rnacentral:rRNA from 1 species
CCCCUAGAUGUUCUGGGCCGCACGCGCGCUACACUGAACAGUUCAACAAGUCUUAACCUUGGCCGAUAGGUCUGGGUAAUCUUUGAACGCUGUUCGUGAUUGGGAUAGACCUUUGCAAUUAUGGGUCUUCAACGAGGAAUUCCUAGUAAACGCAAGUCAUCAGCUUGCAUUGAUUACGUCCCUGCCCUUUGUACACACCGCCCGUCGCUACUACCGAUUGGAUGGUUUAGCGAGAGCCUUGGAUUGGAGCCCAGGUGGUCGGCAACGGCCGCUCGGGAUGCCGAGAAAUUGCUCCAGCUGACUCAUCUAGAGGAAGUAAAAGUCGUAACA